UACGUAGGGGGCAAGCGUUGUCCGGAAUUAUUGGGCGUAAAGAGCGCGUAGGCGGUCCGGUAAGUCGGCUGUGAAAGUCAAGGGCUCAACCCUUGAAAGCCGGCCGAUACUGUCGGACUAGAGUCCGGAAGAGGCGAGUGGAAUUCCCGGUGUAGCGGUGAAAUGCGCAGGAUAUCGGGAGGAACACCAAUGGCGAAGGCAGCUCGCUGGGACGGUACUGACGCUGAGGAGCGAAAGCGUGGGGAGCGAACAGG
rnacentral:rRNA from 1 species